rnacentral:rRNA from 1 species
GACGAACGCUGGCGGCGUGCUUAACACAUGCAAGUCGAACGGAAAGGCCUGCUUUCCCUUGUGGAUUGCGGGUACUCGAGUGGUGAACGGGUGAGUAACACGUGAGUUAUCUUCCCCCAACUUGUGUAUAAGCCUGGGAUACUGGGUCUAAUUCCCGAUAGGACCGCAGGGUGGUGCCGGUGGUGGAAGACGAUUUUCUAGUGGUUGCGGCUGAGCUCGCGGCUUAUCAGCUUGUUGGUAGGGUAAUGGCUUACCAAGGCGGCGACGGGUAGCCUGCCUGGGAUGGUGGACGGCCACAUUGGGACUGAGACACGGCCCAGACGCCAACGAGCGGCAGCAGAGGGGAGGCAUGAGCAAUGAGCGGAAGACUGAUGCAGCGACGCCGCGUGGGGGAUGACGGGCUUGGGAUUGUAACCUCCUUUCGACCGAGAGGAAGCCACCUGGAUGGAGGGGUGGUGACGGUAGUGGUAGAAGAAGCACCGGCUAACUACGUG